UACCAGCUCUUCGAGUGGUGUGGAUGUUUAUUGGGCCUAAAGCAUCCGUAGCUGGCUGGGCAAGUCCCCUGUUAAAUCCACCGAUUUAAUCGUUGGAGUGCGGGGGAUACUGUUCGGCUAGGGGACGGGAGAGGCAGACGGUAUUUUCGGGGUAGGGGUGAAAUCCUAUAAUCCCGGGAAGACCACCAGUGGCGAAGGCUGUCUGCUAGAACGCGCCCGACGGUGAGGGAUGAAAGCUGGGGGAGCGAACCGGAUUAGAUACCCGGGUAGUCCCAGCUGUAAACGAUGCAGGCUAGGUGUUUGGGCGGCCACGUGCCGCUCUAGUGCCGCAGGGAAGCCGUUAAGCCUGCCGCCUGGGGAGUACGGCCGCAAGGCUGAAACUUAAAGGAAUUGGCGGGGGAGCACCACAAGGGGUGAAGCCUGCGGUUC
rnacentral:rRNA from 1 species